GGUAGCCUAGUGGUUAGAGGGGGGAGGCAGGUAGCCUAGUGGUUAGAGGCAGGUAGCCUAGUGGUUAGAGGCAGGUAGCCUAGUGGUUAGAGGCAGGUAGCCUAGUGGUUAGAGGCAGGUAGCCUAGUGGUUAGAGGCAGGUAGCCUAGUGGUUAGAGGCAGGUAGCCUAGUGGUUAGAGGCAGGUAGCCUAGUGGUUAGAGGGGGAGGCAGGUAGCCUCCUGGUUAGAGGCAGGUAGCCUAGUGGUUAGAGGGGGAGGCAGGUAGCCUCCUGGUUAGAGGCAGGUAGCCUAGUGGUUAGAGGCAGGUAGCCUAGUGGUUAGAGGCAGGUAGCCUAGUGGUUAGAGGGGGAGGCAGGUAGCCUCCUGGUUAGAGGCAGGUAGCCUAGUGGUUAGAGGGGGAGGCAGGUAGCCUCCUGGUUAGAGGCAGGUAGCCUAGUGGUUAGAGGCAGGUAGCCUAGUGGUUAGAGGCAGGUAGCCUAGUGGUUAGAGGCAGGUAGCCUAGUGGUUAGAGGGGGGAGGCAGGUAGCCUAGUGGUUAGAGGCAGGUAGCCUAGUGGUUAGAGGCAGG